AACGAACGCUGGCGGCAUGCCUAACACAUGCAAGUCGAACGAGAUCUUCGGGUCUAGUGGCGCACGGGUGCGUAACGCGUGGGAAUCUGCCCUUUGGUUCGGAAUAACAGUUGGAAACGACUGCUAAUACCGGAUGAUGACGAAAGUCCAAAGAUUUAUCGCCAGAGGAUGAGCCCGCGUAGGAUUAGCUAGUUGGUGUGGUAAAGGCGCACCAGGGCGACGAUCCUUAGCUGGUCUGAGAGGAUGAUCAGCCACACUGAGACUGAGACACGGCCCAGACUCCUACGGGAGGCAGCAGUGGGGAAUAUUGGACAAUGGGCGAAAGCCUGAUCCAGCAAUGCUGCGUGAGUGAUGAAGGCCUUAGGGUUGUAAAGCUCUUUUACCCGGGAUGAUAAUGACAGUACCGGGAGAAUAAGCUCCGGCUAACUCCGUGCCAGCCGCCGCCGUAA
rnacentral:rRNA from 1 species